ensembl:scaRNA
AGCCACCCCUUUUCUCCUCAGCCAAGGCUGGAGGCCAAGAUCAGCCCUCAGAGAUCAUCAUCAGGACUGCCAUGAGCUGAGCUGCCUUGUUUUCCUGCCGCAAACAUGU